GGGCAUUCUUCACACCAAAUGACAUGACCAAAGACUCGUAAUAUUUAUACUAUGUUUGAAAAGUUGUUUCAGGAACAUCUUUCUACUUUAUUCAAAUUUAAUGAUAUUCUAACUUAUGGUCAAUUUUUGAGAAAAUGGCGGCUCCUCCGAAUUGGUCCAAUAAGUUAUUUAUUAUAUGCAAAGGGUACCUAUUCUUUAUUGUUAUCUUAUUAUUGAGUUUAUUAUAAUCUAUGCAAAGUCUCAAGCAAUACUUCUAAUAGUAUUUUCAUCAAACAACUCUCUUGCAUUGAAUAUUUGGAGGAGAGAAAAAACAGAACUUUAUUUCUACUAAUAAAUAAAACCAUACUCUUAACAUACAUGUCCCCAAAACAUUUCUUAUCAAUCUAGAUGAAAUAAAUUUCAAACCCAAAACUUCCCUUUUUUCCCCAUUAAACAACCAAAACAAAAUUUUCUUGUAAAAUUUUUCAAAACUAACAUGCAUGUACAAGUCUUUGGAGAAAUUCCAUAAAGAAAGAAAAAUAUGAACUCACUCAAGUGUUCUUGGUAUAAAAUGGAGAAGAUUUGAAUAGUAAAGUGGGCGGAUUUUUUUAGCUGAAUCUGUUGGUGAUGUGAGAAGAAAGUGAGUGAUGUUGGUAUGUUUUGACAUCGUGAGGUUUGUGGGAUAAGGGAAAAUGAACUUUUUUUCUCUUCUAGCUAUUGUGUUUUACAACUACCACUAGUUCUCAUUUUCUAAGAGUAAUAAUAGUAAAUAAAGAAAUUUAAUUAUCGAUAGAAAUUUUAUUUCAUUUCUAUUUUUCUUAAUAAUCAUAAAGUAGAACUCAAUCUUAUUUGUGUUUAUUAUACAAAAGUUUUCAUCAUUCUCAUACCACACAAAUUCUAGAAUUUAUCAAACAUGUCACAAAUUUACAAAAUUCUAAAAUAGUAAAAAAAGGUCGCUUCACUCUUCCAUCUUAAAAAAAAAUUACCUUCAAAAUUUCAAAAUUUACCUAAGAGAAACUAUAAGGAUAUUCUUCCAUUAUGUUAGAUUUCUUCUCUCAAGUAGCCUAUUCUAGGGAUGUCCCUCUCCAAAUAACAUUUAUCAAGGGAAUAGUCUUAUUUUGCAAGGUUUUGAAAGGUUUUCAAGUUUCGGUCCACAAUUUGAAUUGGUGUUGGUUAGAAAGUGGAAUAUGUUUUAAGUUGAACGAAUUCAUGGUUUAAAGUUUAAUAGGGAUCCAAAAUGUAUUUCUUAAGUUGUAUAUGUAUUGAUUUUGUAUUUGUCUUAUAAGAUAAGUAGUUAUUAUUUCUUAAGAAAUAAUCAAA